rnacentral:misc_RNA from 1 species
GAUGAAGAACGUAGCGAAAUGCGAUACUUGGUGUGAAUUGCAGAAUCCCGUGAACCAUCGAGUCUUUGAACGCAAGUUGCGCCCGAAGCCGUCAGGCCGAGGGCACGCCUGCCUGGGCGUCACACGCCGUUGCCCCCCCGCGCCCCGCACCCAACGCUUUGGGAGCGACCGCGGGGCGGGCUGAUGAUGGCCUCCCGUGCGCUCCGCCGCGCGGUUGGCCCAAAUACCGAGUCCCCGGCGACGUGCGCCACGACGAUCGGUGGUUGAGAGACCUCUGUCGCAAGUCGUGCGCGCCCGUCGCGUCACGCGGGCUCGCAUAGCGCCUCGCGCCGCACCCGGUGCGGAGCUUUCAACGCGACCCCAGGUCAGGCGGGGUUACCCGCUGAAUUUAAGCAUAUCAAUAAGCGGAGGA